rnacentral:tRNA from 1 species
GGAGAGAUGGUUCAGUGGUUAAGAACACCGGCUGCUCUUCUGGGGAAACCCGGGUUCAAUUCCCAGCAUCUCCC